rnacentral:rRNA from 1 species
UACGUAGGGUGCGAGCGUUAUUCGGAAUUACUGGGCGUAAAGCGUGCGCAGGCGGUUUUGUAAGCCAGAUGUGAAAUCCCCGGGCUUAACCUGGGAAUGGCAUUUGGGACUGCAAGGCUGGAGUGUGGCAGAGGAGACUGGAAUUCCUGGUGUAGCAGUGAAAUGCGUAGAUAUCAGGAGGAACACCGAUGGCGAAGGCAGGUCUCUGGGCCACUACUGACGCUGAGAAGCGAAAGCGUGGGGAGCGAACAGG